UAGGGAAUUUUCGUUCAAUGGGCGCAAGCCUGAACGAGCAAUGCCGCGUGAACGAGGAAGGUCUUCGGAUCGUAAAGUUCUGUUGAGAGGGAAAAAGGGUCACCAGAGGAAAUGCUGGUGAAGUGAUAUUACCUUUCGGACGG
rnacentral:rRNA from 1 species